UAGAAUAAUGUAGGUAAGGGAAGUCGGCAAAUUAGAUCCGUAACUACGGGAUAAGGAUUGGCUCUGAAGAUUGAGAUAGUCGGGCUUGAUUGGGAAACAAUAACAUGGUUUAUGUGCUCGUUCUGGGUAAAUAGAGUUUCGAUCAUUUAUGAUAGUUAUUUGUUCCCCGAUAGUUAGUUACGUUGCCAAUUGUGGAACUUUCUUGCUAAAAUUUUUAAGAAUACUAAUUUUUAAUUAGUUCUUUUAAAUAAUGACGAUUAUCAAUUAACAAUCAAUUAAGGACUGUCACGGACUUGGGAAAUCCAACUGUCUAAUUAAAACAAAGCAUUGUGAUGGCCCUAGCGGGUGAUGACACAAUGUGAUUUCUGCCCAGUGCUCUGAAUGUCAAAGUGAAGAAAUUCAAGUAAGCGCGGGUCAACGGCGGGAGUAACUAUGGCUCUCUUUCACAUCUUACAAAAAUGCUAUCGUACGCACGGGAGCGGGGACUUGAACGGAAAGGCUGCGUUGUCCAUAUCGAACCAAGUCUGCAAUGCGACUCGGGCUUAAAUAAACCGGAGGACCUGGUGGGAAUCCGACAGAAUCACAUUUAUGUGAUAGACGUUUAGAUUGUGACAGGCGGACAUUCCUUAGACCAAGCGCACCAGCGCAAGGUCGAAAGGUACGACAGAGCUGACAUAAGAUCACAAAUGCGGCGAUUUUUCGGAGUGACAGGUGAAAUCGAGAGGAAUCUGGAGCGGUCAGUCGGUAAAACGAUUGAUUGCAAUAGAUCUCCUCAUCGCUGAAGAUACCAAACUCAUCAGCGUCAGAGCAGUAAAUGGCGGAGUGACGGCUUUCAAAUAUUUCAUGUAUUGUGCUGGGUAUACUCGAAGCUAGAUGUACUAACCUCUAGUUUCUCUUAUACUUUUGCCGUCUACCUUGGCAUUCUAUCUAAAAAGGUACAAACAUCGCAUUGUCAAAAAGAGGUCGUUUUAGUGCGUAGGCGCUGUGGGACUUCAUUAUCCCGAUGAUGCAGCGAAUCGUGCAUACGAGAUUGUCCAGUAGUUGGUUGCUCGUAUCUUUAGAAGAUAGCCAAAUGACUCGUCAUCUAAUUAGUGACGCGCAUGAAUGGAUUAACGAGAUUCCUACUGUCCCUAUCUACUAUCUGGCGAAACCACAGCCAAGGGAACGGGCUUGG
rnacentral:ncRNA from 1 species